ACUCCGGGGGACAGGAAAGGGUGAGCGGAGGACCGCGCUGCACUCGGCCUGGAUGGGCUCCGGGACAGAAGAGGAGAUGCGGGCGAGAAGACCGCCGGGCGGCGGACGGGAGAGCGCAGGCUCGGGGCACACUCGCGCGCAGGACGAACCCAGUUCCUGACCUCAGGGAGUUUAGAAUCCGCUGCAGAAGACGGUCUUCGGACUGCCCUGUUACCGGAACGACAGCGGUGGUACAUUAUGUGAUUCAAAGUCCGAAAGACUGUGCAGUGAAAAGCCCCACACUCCUGUCUUGAUCCAACUAGUUCCCUUCACAGAGGCAAGCGACGUUGUCAGUGUCCCCUCUUCCUUAGCCAGUGAUAGCAUAUGAAAAUACAAGCAAAUACAUCUCUCACUAUACAGGGUGCUAUUCUAUUCACUGUGCUGUACCUUGGGGUUUUUUUUCCCCACAAUAUACCUUUAAAAUAUUCUA